rnacentral:rRNA from 1 species
GACGAACGCUGGCGGCGUGCUUAACACAUGCCAGUCGAACGGAAAGGCCCCUUUGGGGGUACUCGAGUGGCGAACGGGUGAGUAACACGUGAGUAACCUGCCCUUGACUUCGGGAUAACUUCAGGAAGCUGGGGCUAAUACCGGAUAGGAAUCCUUGCUGCAUGGUGGGGGUUGGAAAGCUUCGGCGGUUUUGGAUGGACUCGCGGCUUAUCAGCUUGUUGGUGGGGUAGUGGCUUACCAAGGCUUUGACGGGUAGCCGGCCUGAGAGGGCGACCGGCCACAUUGGGACUGAGAUACGGCCCAGACUCCGACGGGAGGCAGCAGUGGGGAAUAUUGCACAAUGGGCGGAAGCCUGAUGCAGCAACGCCGCGUGCGGGAUGACGGCCUUCGGGUUGUAAACCGCUUUCAGCAGGGGCGAAGCUUGUGGUGACGGUACCUGCAGAAGAAGCACCGGCUAACUACGUG